GCCCUCUUGGGCGUUUCCUCCCUAGACUUCGGGCUGCUCUCUUGGGCGGCCUUUUUUCUGUCUGGG
rnacentral:sRNA from 1 species